rnacentral:tRNA from 1 species
GGCGUGGCUCAACGGUAGAGCAGCUGAUUUGUAAUCAGCAGGUUGGGAGUUCGAUUCUCUUCGCC